GAAUAGACUGAGAGGGCAAGGUUGGAAGCGGGGAGACCAUUGCAGGGGAGAAUUGAUGGCGGCCUGAACAAAAGCUGGAGUGACAGAAGUGGAGGGAGAGGUGGUCAGAUUCAGGACACGUCUUCAAGGAGAGCCAACAGGAUUAUGGAUGGAUUGCACAUGGGAUGUGAGAGCAAGAGGAGACUGAAGGAUGAUGUGUAGGCUUUGGGCUUCUGCAGUGGAAAGGGUGGAUUUGGCAUUUGUUGAAGUGGAGAGAAGAGGUUUUGCUGAGAUAGAAACAAAAAUUUGAUUUAAUAUGUGUUAAGUUUGAGAUAAUUUUUGCUAUCCAAGUGGAGAUAGCAAGUAGGCAUUUAGAGAUGGAAUCAAGAGUUCAGGAAGUCAUCAGAUGUGGAUGGUAUAGAAAGCCAUCGUUUGGUAUUCAAUCAGCUAAGCAAUGACGAAAGCAUGGAGGGCUACCCAGUGGUAAAAUCUGAAGGCAUGAGUGCAGUUGAGGGUGUGGGGAGGAGAGAAAGACGAUGGGUUGAGAACAACUGUGAGGAGCAGGAAGACCAUAACCCCGCCUUCAGGUCCAGUGGCAUAAGGAAGGUGAAGGAGAAAGUGGUUAACACUUUGGAGGCCUGCAGGGAAAACCGUGUCCUCAGAGGGGAGCCAGGGUUUAGUCACAGCAAGAAGGUGAUGGGAACCCUCUGAGGAGGUUUCAGAAUAUGGGGAGUUUACUCAGAUUGGAUGCAUGUAGGGAGGUGAGGAAGCAUGAGAGACAGGGUUGGACUGAGUGAUGUCCAGAGUGGAAGUGUGAUGAGCGGUGACUAGACAAUGCUGGGCUUCCUGUAGCAACUACUUCAAUGGGGAGACAGGCCAUCAAGCACUCCAAGACAGAUUGUGGUCGUCAGGCUGCUGGAGUAGCACAGGGCCUUGUAAGGUGGGCUUUUGCUAGGAUCACAUGGGACCCUGGGGCCCCAUCUUCACUCUGCUUUUGGUAUUUUGCAGCCUGGAGGCAAGAUGUUACGUCUGGAACUCUAGGAUCCUCCUUCAUGUCUGCUGCUGGCUGUGUCAGGGCCAUGGCAGGAAGUUGCCAACACAGCCCAGAGUCCUGCAGAUACAACGUGGAGCGGCCUCAGAGAGGAGGAGAGCCUCCUUUUUGGAAUAGAAAAGCAACACGUGAAAGGCUUUCCCCCAACAUGGCAGACCUAGUUGACUUGGACAAGAUAUCCCUUGCUGUCACAAAUACGAAGAAACGCUGGAUAAACUGUUAUAAAGGAUAUUUUAGAAUUCCUACUCAAACUAAAAGAAAGAAGUCACAAGGUGACAGAAAGUAAGAGAUAAAUCUAGGCCAGUGAGCAGUGAGGGACAGUGAGGCCCACAGUGCUGAGGGCUGCAGGUUCAUCGCCCAUGUCGGGCAGGAGAGAUGGGUCAGGGCCUGCUGAGAGGGGGAGCUGGAGCAGACCCUCCCACAUAAAGCCUGGAGCCUCCAAUGGCUGCUUCUUUGUAAAAACCUCUCCACCUGCUAGUCUGGGAAGCGACAAGGAAGCCGGGCUCUUGGAUGGCAGAAACAUAAAGCCACCAUUGAGAAAGUCAAACCCCAGGCCUGUACCACAAAUUUAAACCAUCUACUUGUUGUGAGAAGAUAAGCCAAGAAAUUAAUGUGAAAACCUCUUCUGGAAAGAACGGAAUGAAACUUCUGGGACUACAGCAUACACCAACUCAAUACUGCUCCAUAGGGUAGCUUCACAACUCACAGCACAAAAAAUUUCCAGAGGGGGAAAAAUGAAGAAUGAUAUACCACGAGGGAGAAAAGCAACUAGACUCAUUCCCUAGGUGAUAUCAUACAGUAUUAUUUAAAAACUCCCUUAAUACUGUGGAUUCCUAUGCUUGUAUCUCCAGCCUCGACCUCUCCUCUCAACUCCACAUGGUCCUCGACUCCAGAUUACCUUCAAGAUAGCUCCACCGAGGGGUCUAAUAAGAAUGUCUAAUAUAAUGUGUGUGGCAGCUCGCCUCCAAGAUGGCCCUAAAAAGCCACCCUCCUAGCACUCAUAUCCUGUGUCAUCCCUCCCACAUUGCACUAGGGACCGGUCAGGGUGAUCAAUGGAGUAUGGCCAAUGUGACAUUAUUUCACUUUUGAGACUAAGUUAUAAAAUCACUGUAGCUUCUAUUUUGGUUACUUUUUCUCUUUCUCGCUCUCUCUUGGGUCACCCGCUCUGGAGAAAGCCAGCUGCCGCGUCUUGACAUUCAGGCAGCCCUGUGGUGAGGCUCAUGUGGUGAGGAACUGAGGCCUGAAGCCAACAGCCAGCAUGAACUUGACAGGCAUGUGACUGAGCCACCCUGAGGGCAGACCCUCCAGCCCACUGCACCGCUGGUCGAAGCUUGACUGCAAUCUCAUGGGCCACCUGAGGCAGAACCACGCAGGGACGCUGAGGUCAGAUUCUCGGCCCUCCCACGCUGUGAGAUAAUAAAGGUUUGUAGUCUAAUCUGGUCA
rnacentral:lncRNA from 1 species